GAUGAACGCUGGCGGCGUGCCUAAUACAUGCCAGUCGAGCGAACAGACGAGGAGCUUGCUCCUCUGACGUUAGCGGCGGACGGGUGAGUAACACGUGGAUAACCUACCUAUAAGACUGGGAUAACUUCGGGAAACCGGAGCUAAUACCGGAUAAUAUAUUGAACCGCAUGGUUCAAUAGUGAAAGACGGUUUUGCUGUCACUUAUAGAUGGAUCCGCGCCGCAUUAGCUAGUUGGUAAGGUAACGGCUUACCAAGGCAACGAUGCGUAGCCGACCUGAGAGGGUGAUCGGCCACACUGGAACUGAGACACGGUCCAGACUCCUACGGGAGGCAGCAGUAGGGAGUCUUCCGCAAUGGGCGAAAGCCUGACGGAGCAACGCCGCGUGAGUGAUGAAGGUCUUCGGAUCGUAAAACUCUGUUAUUAGGGAAGAACAAAUGUGUAAGUAACUAUGCACGUCUUGACGAUACCUAAUCAGAAAGCCACGGCUAACUACGUG
rnacentral:rRNA from 1 species